UAGGGAAUCUUCGGCAAUGGACGAAAGUCUGACCGAGCAACGCCGCGUGAGUGAAGAAGGUUUUCGGAUCGUAAAACUCUGUUGUUAGAGAAGAACAAGGACGUUAGUAACUGAACGUCCACUGCCGGUAUCUAACCAGAAAGCCACGGCUAACUACGUGCCAGCAGCCGCGGUAAUACGUAGGUGGCAAGCGUUGUCCGGAUUUAUUGGGCGUAAAGCGAGCGCAGGCGGUUUCUUAAGUCUGAUGUGAAAGCCCCCGGAUCAACCGGGGAGGGUCAUUGGAAACGGGGAGAGUUGAGGGCAGAGGAGGGGAGAGGAAUUCCAGGUGAGGCGAUGAUAUGCGUAGAUAGAUGGAGGAACACCAGUGGCGAAGGCGGCUCUCUGGUCUGUAACUGACGCUGAGGCUAGAAGGCGUGGGGAGAAAACAGG
rnacentral:rRNA from 1 species